ACCAGGUCUUUUUUUUCCUCCGCAUUGAUACUCUUACAUGGGAGAAUUCUUUGCUCAGGGGAUGAAACAGGGCAGAGCUGUAGCAGUCUUGCUUUCUUCUAGCAUCAAACUUCCCUGAAGACCUCUGAGAUCGUUUUAAGUCUGUCCCUCCUGCCCUUUAAUCAGCCUUGAUGUUUCUCUCUGAACUCCCUCCAGUAUGUCUACAUUUUUUGCUGAUAAACUACUGAAAUCUCCCACCUCCACUCUAAUUCCUAGCAAAGAGAGGAACAAAAGGAAACUACCGUGAGUGACUGCUUGUGUUUCAGCUCUGUCUGCCUCUCAAAAGACCACUCACAGACCCCUUAAAAUGCACUGCAGACUUUCUUGGUGCCUGGCUUGUCCAGUUCACCCUUUCUAGCAUCAUACCAGUAAUAUGCUGUGCAACUGGCCACUCUGACAGCUUUCAUGAUGCCGAAGUUUAUGGCAACUGUAAAUCUAUUAAGCCACAAUUUGCACUUAAUAAAAUGAAACAGCAAGUAGUUAAAUGAAAGCUCAAUCCUAAACUGGAGAACAUUUUUCAGGAAAAGUCAUUGAGCCUGCCGUUGCUACUGCUGCCUUCCUUUGAGAAAUUCAAUCGUGCUGAUUGAGGAAACCUGGAGAGAGCCGGCUAUUCCUUCCUUCGGUUCGUAAUUGCCCUGUAGACCAUUUAAUCAUCUGUAGAUGAAACAAAGCCUGUGCUGUGGAGUCCCGGAAGGGCAGGCAUGAGCUUAUCAAACGCUUCCUACCCACCGAGCAGAGCUGGGAGCUCAUCCCGGUGCCUCUGAGCAGCCCUGCUGUCAAAGCAAGGAGCUGAGAGGAGACUGGCUCUUCCUGCUGUCACUACGCCGGCCUUCCUGCCUGCCUUGAUUUUAUUACAGUAAAGUCUGCACAAGCCAAUUUUUCAGGAGCGGGCUUCAGAGCAGAGAAUGAAGGUCUUUCUGCCAGAGAAGGCAAGCAAGCACUGAGACACCCGCCAGGACAAGAGCUGCUUGAUGCUGUCUUGACAAGAUGAGAUAAGCACUGAAAGCAAGGAUUUACUGGCUCCUGUAAAACAUAUUUCUCUGUCAACUUUAAAAUGUCAUUCUUCAUACCCCCGGCUCUGUCAAUGCUCCAUAUUGUGGUGUUUCUGGGUGACCAAGUGGAUGGCCUUGUUUACAGAUGAAUAGUCUGGUCAGAAACCAUAUGCCCAGUUUCAUUAACUAGAAGAAAAAAAAUAAAGCCUGGCCAGGGGAGGCACUGAGAGCUCGAAAACCUGAUCCAUCAUACUAAUUGGUUUGGAAUAUUAGCCUUUAGUUGAGAUUUGAAAUCCAUUUCCUCCUGAAUAUAGGCAAUUUGCCUAACAGCUCAGGCACUGUACACAACCACGUAAAGCUUGACAUGCUGCCCUCGACUCCUAGCUCGUAUUUUCUGGAAUACACCGAGAGAAUGCAGCACUUAAAAUAGAGUUACAAGAACUGGCUGCUCCUGGGAGGGCAUCUCUGGGCACGUACCUUCCCCCCUCCUGAAAUCUUCAUCGGGAAGAAUUCUUAUGAUGAUUUUUAAUUCACAGAAAACACUCAGUGCUGACUAAUGCCUGCCAAUUAAGUUCAGCCCAUUGAAUCAACAGUUUCCUGUUACCUGUUCCUUCAGGUAGAACAGCGACUGAUACCCCUGCCCUUUCCCAGGCUUCUGUGCAGGGACCUUUCCUGCCUGAAAACAGUGGGGACACCUGUUUCCCGAGCACGGAAGGCCAGCACCUGAAAUCCUAGGAAUGGGCCCACUAUUGAGAAAAGGGUGCUUGAUAAGGCAGCCACUGUGAUAGGCAGCGGAAAUUUGAUGAUGAAAGGAGAUGCCUAAUAGAUUAAUCUGGUGUGAUUUGCCAAAACACAGGGUUUUCUGGAAGAUUAUCCACACUCGCAAUAGGAAGCCCUUUGUUUUGUAAAAGUCCCCACUUAUCAUGGUAUUCUUUAUCUCAACAAGAAACAUAAUGGUUUACUUGUUUACAUGCAUGGCAGAUAUAUUCAGAGCCGGGCUUAGGAACUGUGAACUCCUUUUCAUUUGAAAUGUUUCCAGCAGGCAGGUUAUUAGCUGAGGGGGAACAAGCAGUUGGACACACAUAAAAUUUAAAUCUGCCUUGCUUAGAUUGGCAAAAAUGAAUGUUAUUUCAUCCACUGGGAAAAUGUUUUACUUCCUGCUCAAAUACUUUUGGAAGAAAAUCACAAGCUCAUUUGUAGCCAUCAUAUAUGUAUGUAUAUAUUUUUUUUAGAGUUAAGUGGUAUGUCUACAGAAACGUAUUUGUUACCAUAUACCAGUUAUUUUCCACUAAUAUUAAUUAUUUUAUUAGCUUGUCUUUACUUCUUCAAUUUUACUGUGCUUACUAUAAAAUGUGACUGAUGGCUUUACAUUAUUUAUACUGAAUGUGUGGCUGGAAUCUAGCCCUUGAUGUACCUUGGAUAGAACUGCUUUGGUUUCUGGAAUUGAUUUUUAAAUACCUUACACAUCCGGGACUGCAGAACUACCAAAGCACUGUGUUCUUGAACUCUGAAAAUAAACAAAAACUACCGUGUUAGAAAACAGCUUUAUUGAAGCCCUUUUUAGCAAUCUUACAUCAACAGAGUUUUUCAUGGAGUGCAAUAUUAAGCUUGCUGGAUACACAAUGUACACGCUGUACAAAAGCGUGCGCAGC